UAAUUUCUGACCACGUUAUCACAGCUUUCUUUUUGCAAACUGUUUGUUAACACUUAACAAAGACAGUGAACAUGAGGCUGCUGACUUCAUCUCCUGCUGUGGAACUUCACAGUUUAUGUGAAUGAAUUGUGGUUUUAAAGUUCUGCUGCUUAUUGGGAAAUAAUGUUCUCUUCCUCUUGAAUGUAGCAGAGGACCAACCCACUGGGCCUCUCAGUUUCAGAGAGAGACUGUUUGUUAUCAGAGGCUUGUGGAGGUUUGUGCUUCAACUGGGAGUGGUCUACUUAACCGAGUAUUUCAUCAACCAGGGUUUGAUGGAACUCCUGUUCUUCCACAAUAUUUUCCUGACCCAUGCAGCUCAGUAUCGCUGGUAUCAGACUCUGUACCAGCUUGGUGUACUGCUCUCUCGAUCCUCUCUGCACUGUGUGAAGAUCAGGAGAGUGUGGAU